CCUGGCUUAUCCUCGUCUAUCAAACCCUCCAUCCUGCUUCAGUUUCUCCAUGGGACUGUGGAACUGCCAGUCUGCGGUGAGAAAGGUUGACUUCGUACCUGCCUACGCUUCCCAUCUCUCACUGGACCUCCUGGUCCUAACUGAAACCUGAAUGACCCCAAACGACUCAGCCACACCCGCAGCUCUCUCCAUUAACUACUCUUUCUCCUACAUCCCUCUUCUCUCCCCGGUGGGAAUAUUCUGUUCACCCUCUCCACCUGCAUGAUCUGUCCUCCUUUCAAUGGCCUGUUGUCUCUAUCACUGGCCCAAUCACUCUUGUUGUGUUUGUUCUGUACCCCCCCGGUCCUCCCGGCCGCUUCCUGGAUGACCUCGACAUCCUGUUGAGCUCUCUCCCAGGGGGCAGCACUCCGCUGAUUCUCCUGGGUGACUUCAGUCUGCCUGUUGAGGACAUUGAUGCAACUGGUCUUUUGCCGCUCCUACAGUCCUUUGACCUCUUCCUGUUCCAGUCCCCUGCUACUCACAAAGCUCACAAUUGCCUUGACCUUGUCUUCUCCUGUAACUGUCACUGUCCUGUCCUCUCUGUUACCCCACUCCAUCUAUUCAAUCAUUUCUUUGUCUCCUUCCAACCAUGUCUCACCAAUAAUCCCUCUCCUUCUUCUGCACCCAUUGUUAUCUUCCACCGUAACUUAAAAUCUCUCUCGCCUUCCUGCCUUGUCUCUGCCAUGCUGUCUGCUCUCCCUUCUGCUGCACAAUUCUCAGAUCUAUCAACAGAUAAUGCUACUAACAUUUUCCUCUCUGCCCUUCUUCCUCUCUUUACUCUCUCUGUCCACUGUCUUCUAGACCAGCACACCCCAGUACCACCCCAUGGCUGUCUGAUACAUUACAUACUGACAGGACCAAACUCUGGGCUGCAGUGCGCGAGUGCAUAAAUCUAAGACUCGCAUGGACCUGGAUGUCUACAAACAACUCUUAGCUACUUUUCACUCUGCUGUCUCCUCAACUGAAAG
rnacentral:lncRNA from 1 species